rnacentral:rRNA from 1 species
AAAUUGAAGUAGUUUGAUCAUGGCUCAGAUUGAACGCUGGCGGCAGGCCUAACACAUGCAAGUCGGGCGGUAGCACAGAAGAGCUUGCUCUUUGGGUGACGAGCGGCGGACGGGUGAGUAAUGUCUGGGAAACUGCCUGAUGGAGGGGGAUAACUACUGGAAACGGUAGCUAAUACCGCAUAACCUCGCAAGAGCAAAGAGGGGGACCUUCGGGCCUCUCGCCAUCAGAUGUGCCCAGAUGGGAUUAGCUAGUAGGUGAGGUAAUGGCUCACCUAGGCGACGAUCCCUAGCUGGUCUGAGAGGAUGACCAGCCACACUGGAACUGAGACACGGUCCAGACUCCUACGGGAGGCAGCAGUGGGGAAUAUUGCACAAUGGGCGCAAGCCUGAUGCAGCCAUGCCGCGUGUGUGAAGAAGGCCUUCGGGUUGUAAAGCACUUUCAGCGGGGAGGAAGGCGGUAAGGUUAAUAACCUUAUCGAUUGACGUUACCCGCAGAAGAAGCACCGGCUAACUCCGUGCCAGCAGCCGCGGUAAUACGGAGAGUGCAAGCGUUAAUCGGAAUGACUGGGCGUAAAGCGCACGCAGGCGGUCUGUUAAGUUGGAUGUGAAAUCCCCGGGCUUAACCUGGGAACUGCAUUCAAAACUGACAGGCUAGAGUCUUGUAGAGGGGGGUAGAAUUCCAGGUGUAGCGGUGAAAUGCGUAGAGAUCUGGAGGAAUACCGGUGGCGAAGGCGGCCCCCUGGACAAAGACUGACGCUCAGGUGCGAAAGCGUGGGGAGCAAACAGGAUUAGAUACCCUGGUAGUCCACGCUGUAAACGAUGUCGAUUUGGAGGUUGUGCCCUUGAGGCGUGGCUUCCGGAGCUAACGCGUUAAAUCGACCGCCUGGGGAGUACGGCCGCAAGGUUAAAACUCAAAUGAAUUGACGGGGGCCCGCACAAGCGGUGGAGCAUGUGGUUUAAUUCGAUGCAACGCGAAGAACCUUACCUACUCUUGACAUCCAGAGAACUUAGCAGAGAUGCUUUGGUGCCUUCGGGAACUCUGAGACAGGUGCUGCAUGGCUGUCGUCAGCUCGUGUUGUGAAAUGUUGGGUUAAGUCCCGCAACGAGCGCAACCCUUAUCCUUUGUUGCCAGCGAUUCGGUCGGGAACUCAAAGGAGACUGCCGGUGAUAAACCGGAGGAAGGUGGGGAUGACGUCAAGUCAUCAUGGCCCUUACGAGUAGGGCUACACACGUGCUACAAUGGCGUAUACAAAGAGAAGCGACCUCGCGAGAGCAAGCGGACCUCAUAAAGUACGUCGUAGUCCGGAUUGGAGUCUGCAACUCGACUCCAUGAAGUCGGAAUCGCUAGUAAUCGUAGAUCAGAAUGCUACGGUGAAUACGUUCCCGGGCCUUGUACACACCGCCCGUCACACCAUGGGAGUGGGUUGCAAAAGAAGUAGGUAGCUUAACCUUCGGGAGGGCGCUUACCACUUUGUGAUUCAUGACUGGGGUGAAGUCGUAACAAGGUAACCGUAGGGGAACCUGCGGUUGGAUCACCUCCUUA